rnacentral:rRNA from 1 species
CCUACGGGUGGCAGCAGUGGGGAAUAUUGGGCAAUGGGCGCAAGCCUGACCCAGCAACGCAGCGUGAAGGAAGAAGGCCCUCGGGUUGUAAACUUCUUUUGUCAGGGACGAAACAAAUGACGGUACCUGACGAAUAAGCCACGGCUAACUACGUGCAAGCAGCCGCGGUAAUACGGAGGUGGCAAGCGUGAUCCGGAUUUACUGGGUGUACAGGGCGUGUAGGCGGGAGAGCAAGUCAGAUGUGAAAUUUCAGGGCUCAACCCUGGAACUGCAUUUGAUACUGUUUUUCUUGAGUGAUGGUGAGGCAGGCGGAAUUCGGUGUGUAGCGGUGAAAUGCGUAGAUAUACGGAGGAACACCAGUGGCGAAGGCGGCCUGCUGGACAGUCACUGACGCUGAGGCGCGAAAGCGUGGGGAGCAAACAGGAUUAGAUACCCUAGUAGUC